GAUGUUCCUGGGUACGUUAAAGCUUUUAGCAGCUGCUUUCCACCGCAUACCAUCUCUUUUUUUACAGCAUUAAUAGCUCGUUGGUUCACCUUGGAGUCCCAGGCUCUUCUUCUGGUUAUUUGGACACCAUAACUGCGUCGGAACAAACGUGAAAUGUAAGCAGUUCAAAGAGAAAUGCUGUCUUCGUUCAGCAAAGAUGAAACUAGGAUGAUGUUUGCCCACACACUGCUCAUGAAACUCAACAUGCCCUGCAAGACGUGCAGGAACUUCCCUGGCCAGUCUCCAAUAUGGGAUAUCAUGGGAUGAGAAAUGACUCGUGUGACACAUCAACCAGCAAAUCUUAUAGAACUGCAUGAACAGGUCCAGCAGGUGCAGCAUAACAACUGUAUAUGCCAUCUGUACAGUUGUCUGGAUGCCAGAGUCAACAUCUGUGUUGCCACCUGUGGAGGGUACAUUGUGUACUGAUAUGGGUGAUUCAGCAUGGUUCAGUACCUGGUACCUUAGAAAUUGUUUUCCUUGUCUUAUGCAGAUUUGUGUAUGGUGAUAGGAGUGUUCCACUGUUUUGUGUUAUAACUGAAUAGGUAUGUAAUUACUGUGUAUUUUACCAUAUUGUAAAAAGUCUUACAUGUGUCGUUAAAUAGGCCUUGCACAUAAAGGUUCAGACAGUUGUCACCCAUCAUUCAUUACAUGAGGGUACAUCUCUGUCAGCCUCAGUUGAGCUACAGUAUUGAAAUAUUCAUUAUGUCAGUUACCACAGUUCAAGCUCUCUAGUCAAUUUGUUUAGUUACAGUGACUUUUACUAUCAGAAGUAUGUUAUUCAAUCACUUGUUUAUUCUGAAUGAAUACGUAUUAAUUUUGGUAGGCUAAUUAGGGCAUAUGUGAGCUGCUGAU